rnacentral:rRNA from 1 species
AACAAACGCUGGCGGUGUGCCUAAUACAUGCAAGUCGAACGGGGAAAGCUUUCGGGUGAGUACCAGUGGCGCACGGGUGAGUAACGCGUGGAUAAUCUGCCUUAGAGUGGGGGAUAACUAGUCGAAAGAUUAGCUAAUACCGCAUAAGACCACAAGAACUGCGGUUCAAGGGGUCAAAGGUUUUUCGCUCUAAGAUGAGUCCGCGUAAGAUUAGCUAGUUGGUAGGGUAAAGGCCUACCAAGGCGACGAUCUUUAACUGGUCUGAGAGGAUGAUCAGUCACACUGGAACUGAGACACGGUCCGGACUCCUACGGGAGGCAGCAGUAGGGAAUAUUGCACAAUGGAGGAAACUCUGAUGCAGCGACGCCGCGUGAGUGAUGAAGGCCUUCGGGUCGUAAAGCUCUGUCGCAGGGGAAUAACACAAUGAAGGUACCCUGUAAGAAAGGAUCGGCUAACUUCGUGCCAGCCGCCGCGGUAAUAC